rnacentral:lncRNA from 1 species
CCCAACAAUACAUCUUGAAGAGGUGAACUAAGAAGGCAAACUCCGUGAUAGUGGUCGAUAAUGAAAGUGGAAUAAUGAUAAAUAGUGACAAAGAAUAUCUAAUCAAGCGGAGUGAAUUAAUUCAAUGUUCUUUGGAUGUUAUUAAUAACGCCCUCACAAGCCAAGAAGGAAUUAAUAUUUAUAAAGAUGCUUUGGCUCGUGCACUCGAAUUAAUCUAUCUUGUUGCAGAUAGUGGUAAAAGUUCACAAUGUGGAACUGGUGCAAGUGUAGUCUCUGGGGAAGAUGAGUU